UUUCAUUAGUUGUGAAAUAUAUUAAGGAGAAAUGUAACAGCAUGCUUCAGAUAAUAUAAUUUAAUGUAGGCAGACAAACUGAGACUAAUUAUGGGGUUAGGUUUUCCCAGGAAAUAUUUAUUUAAUUAAUUUCCACAAUUUAAAAAUUAGUCCUGCGAGGAUUUCCUGAUUCUCUGCCUUCAGUAAAGCAGGACCUUCUCUUUUUUCAAGCCAUAACUUUUUUAUAGAACUUUAUUGUUAAUUACACCAUGAAGUAUUUUUUCUUACUCUCAAUAUUUCUGUGGUAACCAAACGAGAAACUUGUUUCUAUAUUAUUUUGAAUUUUUCUCCAUUUUUUCAUGGUAUCCUUGUUUUCCCUUGGACUUCAUUACAAGGUUUUAGACUCCCAUGUUUAUUGCUGGACCCCUCCUUGCCACCUGAUGUAUAUUUGUGUGUCUGUAGAUAACCAGGUAAUAAGUAAUGUUGUUCAACUUCUGAAUGAUAGUUCAGUGAGUCAAAUAGAUAUCUACAUCUACAUCUGUAAGAACAUGAUAUUUCCAAAAUAAUAAUAAAAUAUUAAUGUUUUCUAUAUGGCUGUGUAUAUGUGAUGGUAAAAAGUCAUGCCUAUUAUAAUUUCAAAAAUUAAAUAUUUGAUGGCAUUUUGUGCCUGGAAGCAAAGAAACUAACUUCAUAAUGGCUUUUAUUACAUGUUUUCCAGUGACUACUUUGAUAUCAUUUGAAUUAAGAUGUAUGUAAUAGAAACACUGCCUUACUCGCCAACUUUGCAUUUCUAAGUGAAGAUAUAUUCCCCUCUCUUCUCUUCCUCCCUCAGCUUAAAAUUAACCCCAUUUGGGGGAUCAUUAUUAAAGUUCUCUUGUAGGAUUCUUACAUGUAGAUGUGAGUAUAUCAAGAAACUAGCAUAGAACAUAGCACAUGAUAAGUAAUCAUUAGUUUUAAUUUUUGUUCCACAUUCCACCUUUAAAGUUUAUAUACCAAGCUUUGAGAUGAAAUUAUUUGGCUAGUACCACUUUAAUCAGCUUGUAUUUGGAGUUAGUUUAUUCUCCAUAUUCUACAAAAUCAAAAUUAAGAUUUGCUUUUUAUUAGACUUUGGAGAUCCUGUUACAUUUGGAUCUCAUGGAUUUUAGAUGAAAAAUAGACCUACGGAUCAUGUAGUUCAUUACACAGAUGGGGAGUUGUUACCAAUGGGCAUCUUGAAGUGACAUCAUACAGCCUGGUAGCUGGGGAGACAGAUACAGAAAUCAGGUCUUCUAACUUCUUGUUUAAUGUCCUUUUUAGUGCAACAUACUUCCCCUGAGUUGGAUUGAUAAACGGUUCCUUGCUGAUGUUCAGAAAUCUCUAACAUAUUUGUGGAUAAUGUUAUAGUAGCUAUUUUGAGUAUCACCCCAGAAGUUAAGAUAACAAAAGACAGAUUUAAUUUGCAUAUGCUUUUUAUGUGUAAAUUACUUCACUAUUUACAACUUUUUUUUCCUCUAAUAAUAGGUCUCUGUUAUUUUGGUUUUUGUAGUUUUUUCAAGUGGGAUGAGGGAUGGAGACAAUCCUAAUAAUUCAAGAAGUGGGAAACAAAUAAGGAAAAGAAAGAAUGUUUCAUCCUUACUCACCUACCUACUUUGAUAUUUUCUUCAGGGAUUAUAAAUCCAUUAUUUCUACAGUUAAUAAUAGUUUGCUCUUCAGAUAAGCUACAAACUCUGUAGAGGUUAAAACUUUCAAUAUACAACUGUGGCUGUUUGUUCACCACAGUGCAUCGCCAGGUAAACUUUAACCAAAAGCCCAAGAGACUGAAUAUUUUAAUCCUACAGAAGCAGUUUUGUUCGCUGGCAAAACAGUACCUGGAUUUUGAGUAUUUCUCAAAGGAGCUAGGCUGGGAAUUUAAAAUAUGUUAGAGCUCCUCAAGGGGCAUAGAACAUCUGCUGGACUGUAAUCUAAUAAAACAGAAUUGGACAAAGAUGAGGUCUCUGACAUAUGCUGGUGCUGGACUUAUACUUGAACAGCUCAAGCAGUUUUGCUUUGAUAAACUGAUCAAGACAAUGGACUUGUGGAAGCUGCCUCGCCAGGACAGCUGGACGCUACCUUCUGGGUUCUGCUCCCUGGUCCCCUUGCAGUUGAAUUUCAUGGAAUUUUAUCAUGUCCCAAACAUACAGUCUAAGAGCUGAGCUCCCUUACCAUUUGUAUUUGAUAGAUUCUUCCAUCUGAGUCUGGGGAUAAAUAUGAGGAAUUUAACCAAGUGGAAAUUGAAUAGCAUAGCAAAGGGAAAUGUGGAUUCAAACUUUGAAAAGUUUCAUGUUCAAGGUUUUCCACCUCCAUCUUUUUUAUUUUAAGCAAACCUUUCAAGCUAUCUUAUGUCCAUGAUUUUCUUGUAAAAUACAGCAAUAACAAUUCCCACUGUUUUUUAAAUCCAAAGUAUUUGAAAGUUCAUACCCUCUGCAGGAUAAUGGAAAUCAUAGUAGUUCCUUGUGAUCUUCUUUUUUGAAUGGAGGAGGGCAUUAGGUUGUUUGGGCUACUGUAACAAAAUAACACCAAAAGGGUGGUAUAAACAACAGUACUUUAUUAUCUCACAGAUCUGAAUGCCAGACAUCCCAGAUCAAGGUGCCGGGUUGGGUCCUUCUGAGAGAUGUGAAAGAUAGUCUGCUCUAGGCCUUUCUCUUGGCUUCUGGUAGUUUGCUAUCAUUGUUUUUUGCUCUUUGGUGUAUAGAAGCAUCACCCUCAUCUUUACCUCCCUCUUUACACGUGUAUUCCCUGUGUGUAUGUCCAAAUUGCCGUUUUUAGAAAAGACGUGACGUCACAUUGGAUCAGGAGUCUAGAGCAUUCUACUGCAUUAUGAGCACAUCUUAACUCUUUAGGUCACACCUUGAGGUACUGGAAAUGAACUUCAACAUAUGAAUUUGACAGAGGGGAGAAACAUUUCAACCUACAAUGGAGGAUCAUGGGAAUUUUUUAAAAACUUCCUUUACUUAGUGUCCUUUUCAGUGAUUGGGAAAUUUGGGAUUACCGUAUUAUUCUGUAUCCUUCUGUUCCUUCAUUCCUACUCUCUGUAUAAACCCCAAACCACCUCCUAAUGCAUUCAAUUUAUAAUAUCAAAGUAGGAGACUAUGUAGAGAGAUCAGCAUUAGAAUGAAAGAUUGUAAAUCAGACUUAGAAUAUUAAUGGCCUAUGCUAAUCUGACCGCCAAAACUAUUUAGGUCAGUUUCUGAAAAUCACUAAGUAAUGUACCAAAACCUGAUAACCGUUUUUGUAUUUUUCAUUUGCGAAAACUUCCAUUUAUGUCAUCUCACUUAAACCAACAUAGUUCCUAUUUAAAGAUGUAGAAAUUGAAGUUCAGAGGUGAUAUAAUGCCAAAGGUCAUUUGUGUAGUUACCUGGGUUACAUACAACCUGGGUUACAUUUUAUGAGAGAUUAUAAAUCCAUGUCUUGAGUUCUUUAUGCUCUCAUGUCAUGUUCUCUUUAGAAAAUGUAGGUAGGUAGGUUUGUGACUCAUACAGGUCUCAAAUAAAGACCAGUGAAAUUGAAGAGUGGACCCUGUAAGUGCAGAUUGUUUGUAUCAUACUUUCAAUUUCUUCACUUUUCCACAUCAAAUGUUUCUGAUUCUUAUUAUCUAUCACUAGUGCUAUGGUUCACAUAGAUUAUGAGAAGAAAUAUUUCAUUUUUUAAAUCAUUUUUCUUCUG
rnacentral:lncRNA from 1 species